GGCAACUGGGUCUGGCCUGGCGUUCCCAGACGCUGGGUCCUCUCGCCUUCCCCCUUCUGGAGCAGCCGGGUCGGGCCUGUCCUAAGUGUAUCCGCUCCGGAACUCUGGGCACAAACGCUAAGGCACAAAAAGACUGGUUGCGCCUGCAUUUGGAGGAGGAUCAGACCCAGGAGCUGGGAUAACUAUGUCAAGCAGGGAAAAGUCAUCAGCUCAGCUGGAAGCUGUAGAUGGCAGCUGCUGAAGACACAGACACUAACAAGCUCACAGGAUGCCACUGGAACCAGAAUUCUCCAGAGAUGUGUUCUGACAGAUGACAAUGGAACUGGGGCUCGCAGGAGGUCUAGAGGCUUGCAAGUGGUUAAAAAACAAAACAAAACAAAACAAAACAAAACCAGAA